CCUAAGUCAUUCCCUAGGCAAAAGCCAUGGAGCAGAAGGUGGGAGUGGCUCUCCAGAGAAGCAACUGCAGGUAGACCAGGACUACCUUAUUGCCUUGUCCCUGCAGCAGCAGCAGCAGCCACAGGGCAUGCUGGGUCUCAGUGACCUGGAACUGGCCCAGCAACUUCAACAAGAAGAGUACCAGCAACAGCAAGCAGUUCAACCUGUGCGGACCAGGGCCCCUUCAUCCCCGGUGAGCCUGCCCUUCUCCUGGUAGGCAUGGAGUGCCUACUGUUUCUGUAUGGGGCACUGACCGGCUUGAUAGAGAAUGCAUAUGGUCUCUGAACAGGUCUGAAAAGUUUCCCCCCAUAAUCUGUGCUACCAUUGAUGUUGAACCCCGAUGCCUGUGACCUCUACCAAGGUUAUUGGAUAACUAAUUGCUAAAUCUCACACAGGGUAGAGGAGCCACAUCUGGACGCCCAGCUGGGGAGCGGAGGCAGAGGUCGAAGACUGAGUCAGACUGUGUUCUGCUCUGACUCCGCCCCAUACAGCCUGCCCCGCCCCUUCUUUCAGAGGCCUUGACCGGCAGGACCCCGCCCCACCUCAAUCCUUGAGGCAUACAGGAUAACCUGUAUGCGCUAUUGGGGAUCAGAACAGUGGGUGCCAAGA
rnacentral:lncRNA from 1 species